rnacentral:rRNA from 1 species
UAGGGAAUAUUGCGCAAUGGGGGAAACCCUGACGCAGCGACGCCGCGUGAGUGAUGAAGGCCUUAGGGUCGUAAAGCUCUGUUGACGGGGAAUAAAAAAAUGAAUGUACCCGUCGAGGAAGGAUCGGCUAACUUCGUGCCAGCAGCCGCGGUAAGACGAGGGAUCCUAGCGUUGCUCGGAAUCAUUGGGCGUAAAGAGGGCGUAGGUGGCUUGGUAAGUCAGGUGUGAAAGCCCAGGGCUCAACCCUGGAAGUGCAUUUGAUACUGCUAAGCUUGAGUGUUGGAGAGGUUAUCGGAAUACCUGGUGUAGUGGUGAAAUACGUAGAUAUCAGGUGGAACACCGGAGGCGAAGGCGGGUAACUGGCCAAACACUGACACUGAGGCCCGAAAGCAUGGGGAUCAAACAGG